rnacentral:rRNA from 1 species
GACGAACGCUGGCGGCGUGCUUAACACAUGCAAGUCGAACGGAAAGGCCCUGCUUUUGUGGGGUGCUCGAGUGGCGAACGGGUGAGUAACACGUGAGUAACCUGCCCUUGACUUUGGGAUAACUUCAGGAAACUGGGGCUAAUACCGGAUAGGAGCUCCUGCUGCAUGGUGGGGGUUGGAAAGUUUCGGCGGUUGGGGAUGGACUCGCGGCUUAUCAGCUUGUUGGUGGGGUAGUGGCUUACCAAGGCUUUGACGGGUAGCCGGCCUGGGAGGGUGACCGGCCACAUUGGGACUGAGAUACGGCCCAGAAUCCUACGGGAGGCAGCAGUGGGGAAUAUUGCACAAUGGGCGGAAGCCUGAUGCAGCAACGCCGCGUGCGGGAUGACGGCCUUCGAGUGGCAAACCGCUUUCGCCUGUGACGAAGCGUGAGUGACGGUAAUGGGUAAAGAAGCACCGGCUAACUACGUG